rnacentral:rRNA from 1 species
UAGGGAAUCUUCGGCAAUGGGGGGAACCCUGACCGAGCAACGCCGCGUGAGUGAAGAAGGUUUUCGGAUCGUAAAGCUCUGUUGUUAAGGAAGAACGAGUGUGAGAAUGGAAAGUUCAUACUGUGACGGUACUUAACCAGAAAGGGACGGCUAACUACGUGCCAGCAGCCGCGGUAAUACGUAGGUGGCAAGCGUUGUCCGGAUUUAUUGGGCGUAAAGCGAGCGCAGGCGGUCAAUUAAGUAUGAUGUGAAAGCCCCCGGCUCAACCGGGGAGGGUCAUUGGAAACUGGUUGACUUGAGUGCAGAAGAGGAGAGUGGAAUUCCAUGUGUAGCGGUGAAAUGCGUAGAUAUAUGGAGGAACACCAGUGGCGAAGGCGGCUCUCUGGUCUGUAACUGACGCUGAGGCUCGAAAGCGUGGGGAGCGAACAGG